AUGAUAUGUAGUACAAGUUAAAGCUGCUAACUUAUCACUUAAGUGGUUUAAAUCCAUUUAUAUCUUAU
rnacentral:tRNA from 1 species